rnacentral:rRNA from 1 species
GACGAACGCUGGCGGCGUGCUUAACACAUGCAAGUCGAACGGUGAAGCGCCUUCCUUUUUGGUGGGUGUGGAUGAGUGGCGAACGGGUGAGUAACACGUGAGUAACCUGCCCCCUUCUUCUGGAUAACCGCAUGAAAGUGUGGCCAAUACGGGAUAUUCUGGGUCUGUCGCAUGAUGGGUCUGGGAAAGAUAUUGUUUCGGUGGGGGAUGGGCUCGCGGCCUAUCAGCUUGUUGGUGGGGUGAUGGCCUACCAAGGCGGUGACGGGUAGCCGGCCUGAGAGGUUGGACGGUCACACUGGGACUGAGACACGGCCCAGACUCCUACGGGAGGCAGCAGUGGGGAAUAUUGCACAAUGGGCGCAAGCCUGAUGCAGCGACGCCGCGUGAGGGAUGGAGGCCUUCGGGUUGUGAACCUCUUUCGCCAGUGAAGCAGGCCUGCCUCGUUUGUGGGUGGGUUGACGGUAGCUGGAUAAGAAGCGCCGGCUAACUACGUG